rnacentral:rRNA from 1 species
AGACAUGCAAGUCGAGCGGGAUUUCUUUUGGUAGCAAUACCGAAGGAAAUUCAGCGGCGAACGGGUGCGUAACACGUGGGCAAUCUGUCUUAAAGUGGGGGAUAGCUCGGCGAAAGCCGAAUUAAUACCGCAUGUAAUCAGGGAAGACAUCUUUCCGAAAUCAAAGGUGGCGCAAGCUACCGCUUUUUGAGGGGCCCGCGGCCUAUCAGCUUGUUGGUGAGGUAACGGCUCACCAAGGCGUUGACGGGUAGCUGGUCUGAGAGGACGACCAGUCACACUGGGACUGAGACACGGCCCAGACACCUACGGGUGGCAGCAGUCGAGAAUUUUUGACAAUGGGGGAAACCCUGAUCGAGCGACGCCGCGUGGAGGAUGAAGGUCUUCGGGUUGUAAACUCCUGUCAUUUGGGAACAAGGCGUACGUAUUAACUGUGCGUACGUUGAUAGUACCAGAAGAGGAAGGGACGGCUAACUCUGUGCCAGCAGCCGCGGUAAUACAGAGGU